rnacentral:sRNA from 1 species
UAAUUGGUGAUUUGAAGCAGGUAGUGG